CCUGGCCCAUAACGAAAUCCAUGCCAGCAGAGAGGGGUGAAAACCGCGAAUGGGUGUGUAAGAGAAAAAAGGAACAAGAAGAAAUACAUUAGGGCUUUAAGCCCAAACUGAAUAAUUCAAGGAUCCAACAUCUUAAUGGAGCGAUCCAGUAUCCUAAUGGAGCAAUUCACCCUUUUGAACAACACCAAAAUUGUGUCGCUGAAUCUCCUAUCUUCAACCCUAACAUUCAUACAGAUAACUAACAUUCAUACAGAUAAGUAUGCUCUCGCGUGCAAUCACAUUCGACGAAUCUUUCUCAUCGUCCUCACUCCUCACCAUUUCUCCAUACGAGCGGCCAUGAUUCCGGCUCAGUCAUCUGGAUAUACUCGACUUCCUCUUCAUCCUCGUUGAUCCCAAGCUUUCAACAUCAACACCGAUAAUUAAAUCGCAGCAACAAGGAGCGUCUGAUUCACGUCUUCCUAUGGUCCUACGGAUUGCGUUGCAGAUCGCGAAACAGAACUGAAAUCGGGACAAAAGUAAAACGGAGCAAGGGAAUAACUCGAAGUGAUUUCGACGCGGUUGCUCCAUCGAUGAUGAUAAACCGAAAAGCAUGGGCUUGAAUUAGGUGAUAACUCCUCUUCUUUUCAUUGCGCCUAAACUCCGCCGCUAAAUCCAAAUCGGAGCUCGAAUGCACUCAGCGACGCGUAUGGAUUCCGAAAUCAUUCGCUCCUCAUCACAGCUCCACGGUUCGGCCACGAUUUGCAAAGCUCUGAGGUUCGGUUUGAUAGCAAACAGGUGGUCGAUUUCUGUUGUUAAACCUGCGUUGGCGUUUCGUGCUGCUAUGCGUUUCAUGCUUUGGAGUUCUCCAUUUGGCAUUCCCACUUAUGUUGUACUGCAGAUUAUUUUGGCCUGCAACUUAGUUAAACCACCUGCAUUUUGUCGCUGCAUUCUGUGUCUUGCCAUUUCGUUAGGACGUUGCACUGCCAGACAUGUGAUGUGCUAACUUGUGAAACAUGGAUAUGGAUACUGGUUGUAGGUUAAGGGUGAAUGGAUGCUUAAAAUGGAUAUUGGUUAUUAGCAUGGUAAUUGGUUAUUUACAUGAUAAUUGGUUAUUUACAUGGUAAA